AACGCAUCUUGCACCUGUUGGUAUUCCAACAGGUACGCCUGUUUCAGUAUCAAAACAAACCCCUCUUUUAAACUUUUUUGUUUGAAAGGAUCUGAAGGUAUCUCUAUUUAGAGAGAUCUUUUAAAUUACUAAGGCUUAGUUUUGUUCUAACCCUGCCUGAACUUUUUUUUAAUAUAAAGGAAAGCUCUUGCAAAAUUUGAACGGAGAGCCUCUCAAAUAAAAAUUUUUUAAAUCUUGAUCUGAAAUCAGGUGGGAGUACCCGCUGAACUUAA
rnacentral:misc_RNA from 1 species